rnacentral:lncRNA from 1 species
GUCGUCACCACGAGUAUUGUCCUCCUCAAUUUGAAUUUCAACAGUGUCAUUAUUAUAUAUGUUAUUCUUUCUUUCCCUUUUCUGUUUCCAGCCACCUUCUCUGUUAAGGCCAAACCGCAGCCAAUCUUUAGCUGCAUCAUCUAUCUCCUUAUCUGAAGACUCUUUACAGCUACGGUUUUUUCUAACCAACUCUGUAAUAAAGUUAUAAGUAA